UCCUCUCGCACUUUUCCAAGGACAGGUGGUGCUGAGCAUCUCUUCGAGUGCUUAUCUCCAUCUGCACGUCUUCCUUGAUGAGCUGUUUGUUCAGAUGUCGUGUUGUCUUCCAAAUAAGACUGCUCGUUUUCUUGGGGUAGAGUUUGGAGUGUUCUUUGGAUGUCUUUGCCAGAUAUUUAGUAUUAGUCUAUGAUUUAUUCAAAUUUAUUUUUGUGAAGAAUGAGAAGUUCACACACGUUAUUCUUUGCAGGUGAGUGCCUCAGUCACAUUUUAGUGAGUUUCGCUGAGUUAUACUUUGUAUAUAAUUUGCUAAUUGAGGAGUAUCAAUGCAAUGAUAAAUUAUAUAAAUCCCCUCAAACCCAAAUGCUCCUUGCAUGUAUUUGCAUCAAUCACUCACCCUCUAACCCUGAAUCCUGACAGUGGAUCUGCCUUCUAUAAUGACAGCCUGCUAUUUCUAAAAUUUAUAUAAAUAGACUCAAAUGGUAUGGUCUAUUAUUAAUAGGUUAUUUUACUUGGCAUAAGGGAUUUGAAAUUCAUGCACAAUGCCAUGUACAUCAGUAAUCCUUUUCUGUUUGAUUUGUGAAUACUAAUCUCUCAUGCAGUAAAUGUUUUAAACAUUUACCAGUUGGUGGACAUUUACAUUGUAUCUGGUAGAUUAAGUAUCAUGUGACAAGUUCUGAUUACUUCUACAGGAAACUGCUGAUUUAUUUUCAAAGUGUUUGGGCCAUUUUGCAUUUUCUGUAGGAAUAUUACUUGAUUCACUACCUCACCAACAACUGCUCUUGUCAGCAUUUAAACUGUAGCCAGGGUCACCUCAUGCAAUUCAGGCUGGUCUUAA